rnacentral:rRNA from 1 species
ACGCUCGACACCUACGGGAGGCAGCAGUGGGGAAUAUUGCACAAGUGGGGGAAACCCUGAUGCAGCAACGCCGCGUGAGUGAAGGAACGUAGUUUCGGUAAUGUUAAAGCUCGUAUCAGACGAGGGAAGAUAUGACGGUACCUGAACGUAAGAAGCUCCGGCUAAAUACGUGCCAGGUAGCCGCGGUAAUCGUGAGGCGGGACGUGGCAAGGC